rnacentral:rRNA from 1 species
UACAGGGGGUGCAAGCGUUGCUCGGAAUCACUGGGCGUAAAGCGUACGCAGGCGGACCGUUAAGUCGGGUGUGAAAGCCCGGGGCUCAACCCCGGAACUGCAUUCGAUACUGGCGGUCUUGAAUACGGGAGAGGUGAGUGGAAUUCCUGGUGUAGAGGUGAAAUUCGUAGAUAUCAGGAGGAACACCGGUGGCGAAAGCGGCUCACUGGCCCGAUAUUGACGCUCAUGUACGAAAGCGUGGGGAGCAAACAGG